AUAAAUAAAUGAGGCAAUAAAUACAUAAAUAUUAAAUACAUUUAAUUGUUUCAUGGUACUUUUAUUUCAUAAUGCCACUUUUCAUUUCAUGGUACUUUUAUUUCAUAAUGCCACUUUUCCUUUCAUGGUACUUUUAUUUCAUAAUGCCACUUUUCAUUUCCAGAGUCUUUUAUUUCAUAAUGCCGUUUUUCAUUUCCAGAGACUUAUUUCAUAAUGCCGUUUUACAUUUCACGUUAUUAUAUGCAAAUCAGGGGGCGUGGCUACAUCUAACAUUCAGAACAGACAACAGAGCCGUGUGCAAAAGAAGGCUGGCUAGACCAGUGUUUUUCAACCUUUUUUGCGUCAAGGCACACUUGAGACACAGAAAAAAUCUCACGGCACACCAACAACCGGAAAUGAUAUGAAAAUCAAUCCCAAACAUAGUUUCAGCAUGAGCAUAAUAUACUCUAAGAAAUC
ensembl:lncRNA